UAUCCUGGAUUGUCUGGGGGUGGGCACGAUGUAAUCACAAUGGUGUUUAUAAGUGAAAGAGGAUGACAGGCGUGAGCCACCGCACCUGGCUGGAAGACACUUUUAAGACAAAAGUUAGUGGUAUAAACUACAACUCUUGCCACAGCAGCUGAUCUUGGGGUAUAACUGGUUCUCACCAUUCUCCUCUUUACUAUCCAUUCUAGAUCCCCAUCAUCUUCUCUAGCUAGUGCCGUAAUGGUUUAGAUGGUUUACCUGGGGAGUGGUCCAUACUCUCAUCCCCGAGUAGCUUAGGUGCCUGGUCACUAUGUACUUCUCAAGCCAUGGAUGCUGCUCUUGUUCAUUUCUCAUCAAAGUGGGGCAAGAGAGUCAGGAGGCAUCCAAGCAGAUCACCUGGUG
rnacentral:lncRNA from 10 species